rnacentral:rRNA from 1 species
UACGAAGGGGGCUAGCGUUGUUCGGAAUCACUGGGCGUAAAGGGCGCGUAGGCGGCGCGACAAGUCAGGCGUGAAAGCCCCGGGCUCAACUGGGGAACUGCGCGGGAAACUGACGGGCUUGAGUUCGGGAGAGGGAAGCGGAAUUCCGGGUGUAGCGGUGAAAUGCGUAGAUAUCCGGAGGAACACCAGUGGCGAAGGCGGCUUCCUGGACCGACACUGACGCUGAGGCGCGAAAGCUAGGGGAGCAAACGGG